rnacentral:lncRNA from 1 species
ACGAACCCGGCCCGUUUAGCCCAGGAUCGUAUGGGCUUAGGCCCGUUAUGGGCUGGUUCCACUCGUUGAGUCCACAAAGCCCGGGACCACCAGAACCCAAGCUCGCUAAGCCCGACCCGUUUGGCCCAUUUAGGCCCGGACCCGACCUAGAAUUCAGCAUUAGGCUGCCAAAUGAAGCACGGAACUAGCUGGAGGUAUAUAAAGAGAUGCUACUAUUUAAUUAUGCAGCAGUAGACAGUUUGGGUAAGAAAAAAUGGUUCGCUCGCUGCAUUAUUUACGAUUAUAUCAUAGAUAAAACUUGUUUAAACUAGCAAAGAAGGCCCUUACAUCACGUUUUAUCUUAAACGUAUAGAAAUAUUAGUUUUUGAUUAAUACAUUCUCGGCACUGUCUUAGAAAAAAGAAUCUUAGUUCUGAUAUAUUAGUAUUUUUAAAAUACCUAUAUUUUGUAUUCUUUCCUACGAAAGCACUACAUGUUUAUCGAAUGAUGACUUGCUAAGAUAUCGCUUGA